UACAGAGGGUGCGAGCGUUAAUCGGAAUUACUGGGCGUAAAGGGCGCGUAGGUUGUUAUUUAAGUUAGAUGUGAAAUCCCUGGGCUUAACCUAGGAACUGCAUUUAAUACUGGAUAACUAGAGUGUGGUAGAGGGUAGUGGAAUUUCCGGCGUAGCGGUGAAAUGCGUAGAUAUCGGAAGGAACACCAGUGGCGAAGGCGGCUACCUGGACAAAUACUGACGCUGAGGCGCGAGAGCGUGGGGAGCAAACAGG
rnacentral:rRNA from 1 species